rnacentral:lncRNA from 1 species
CAAUUCAUUCACCAUGCUUUAUUGUUCCAUCUAUUCGAUAUUGUUUAUGAAAGCCAUAAGGAAUUAAUCUUUCUUUGGGGGAUUAGUGAGUGGAGGCAUGAUCUAUUAAUUAUUUUAUAAGGUUACUCAGUGGAUUAACUAUUUGGGAAAGGAAGAGCAUGAAACAAACCCUAUGUCUAACAUCCCCGAAAAUUCAUCAAGGUGG